AUUGCCAUCCCUUUCCCUUCUUUUUCUAAACCCACUCUCCCUUUCACUUCUCAGUCAUACUCAUACAACAAGGAAGAAGAAGGAAAAAAAAAACCUGCAACUUGACCGCUCACCUCCGACGUGCGAUUCUCAGGCCAAUAGCUGACCGGCGUACGAUUCCCCUAUGGCAUGCGACCCACUGGUGUGCGAACCUCUCCUCUCCGGUGACUUGUUCAUCCAAGAUAACCAAUGUCUACCACGAAUGUUAAUGACAGCAACCAAAGUGGGUUAAGAUUUGUGAAUGUAAGAUGCAAAUGUCCUGAACCCAAAACGGCAUUGGUGCACAUUUUAGAGUCUAGUUCAAACCUAAACAUGGUGUAUUACUGCUGGCCUAAAGCACCAAAAAGAUGUCGAUUCUUCUCAUGGUGUGAUCCUAUAGUUGCACUAAUACUUUUGCCACCCCUUGUAACUAAUUCAGAAGUAGUUGUUGGUGAAAGAAUCCAAAGUCAACAGAUGAAAGAAGAGAUUCGUGCCCUGAAGAAAAGAAUUAAGCAUUUAGAGAAAGCGUAUAGAACGAUGAAAAUUGUAAUUGGUGUGCUUGUGGUGGUGUGUUUAAUGUUAUGUGUUAAAAAAUGACUUUACAAUGUUUAAUAGUGAAGUUGUGUUGAGUCUGUAAGCAUUUGAACUUAAUGAAAUCAUUCCUUCUCA